GACGAACGCUGGCGGCGUGCUUAACACAUGCAAGUCGAACGGAAAGGCCCCUUUGGGGGUACUCGAGUGGCGAACGGGUGAGUAACACGUGAGUAACCUGCCCUUGACUUCGGGAUAACUACAGCAAACUGUGGCUAAUACCGGUUAGGAAUCCUUUCUGCAUGGGGGGGGUUGGAAAGCUUCGGGGGUUUUGGAUGUACUCGCGGCUUAUCAGCUUGUUGGUGGGGUAGUGGCUUACCAAGGCUUUGACGGGUAGCCGGCCUGAGAGGGCGACCGGCCACAUUGGGACUGAGAUACGGCCGCGAUUCCUACGGGAGGAAGAAGUGGGGAAGAUUGAACAACGGGCGGAAGGCUGAUGAAGCAACGCCGCGUGCGGGAUGACGGCCUUCGGGUUGUAAAACGCGUUCAGCAGGGGCGAAGCUUGUGGUGACGGUACCUGCAGAAGAAGCACCGGCUAACUACGUG
rnacentral:rRNA from 1 species